rnacentral:lncRNA from 1 species
AGUGGAUGCCUGACUUGGGGUUCAUUGAGUAUGACUGGCUAAAAGCUAGGGCUUUACAGCAAACAGCAAAACAAGUCAAACUUCUUGCAGGGGAGGACAAGAAAUGAACACUUAGCACAAACAUAUUAUUGUGACAAUUACAUCAGGCAUUGACUCGAAUGCUGUGCCAGCUCCAUAAGACACCAUGGAAUCAUAGAGGAAACGAUCUCAGUUUUAAAGAGGACUGACUUUGUUUCGAUGCUCCUUAAUUUCCAAACUUGUUUUAACUCUUCUACCAGAGACUGACUCUGUUUUAUAUCUCAGUCCAAUUGUCCCAGUGAUUGUUG